rnacentral:rRNA from 1 species
AUUGAACGCUGGCGGCAGGCCUAACACAUGCAAGUCGAACGAGUGGCGGACGGGUGAGUAAUGUCUGGGAAACUGCCUGAUGGAGGGGGAUAACUACUGGAAACGGUAGCUAAUACCGCAUACCAUCGGAUGUGCCCAGAUGGGAUUAGCUUGUUGGUGGGGUAACGGCUCACAAAGGCGACGAUCCCUAGCUGGUCUGAGUGGAUGAACAGCCAACCUGGAAUUGCGACACGGUCCAGACUCCUACGGGAGGCAGCAGUGGGGAAUAUUGCACAAUGGGCGCAAGCCUGAUGCAGCCAUGCCGCGUGUAUGAAGAAGGCCUUCGGGUUGUAAAGUACUUUCAGCGGGGAGGCGUUACCCGCAGAAGAAGCACCGGCUAACUCCGUGCCAGCAGCCGCGGUAAUUC